rnacentral:lncRNA from 1 species
UGGGCAGAGGGGCAGCACGAGGUGUCCUGCCCAGGGCAUGCAGCCAAGCCCCGGUGGCAGCGUUGGAAGCAGAAGGCCAUCCUGUCCCAUAGGGUGCGUGUGGAUGGGCACGGUGGGGCGGCUGUCCCCAUGUGGAGGGUCCCUGGGUCCCACACGGGACCUCCUCCAGACCCUACAAUGGCCACGGAAAGGCUGUCAGCAUGGGGACAUUUAUCAAAGAAAUGAAUUGCGAAUGAAAUCCUGAAGAAAAACCCUCCAGCGUAGGGGCGACUGUUCAAAACCAGAGUGAUGUGUCCCUUGG